rnacentral:rRNA from 1 species
GAUGAACGCUAGCUACAGGCUUAACACAUGCAAGUCGAGGGGAAACGAUAUUGGAAGCUUGCUUCCGAUAGGCGUCGACCGGCGCACGGGUGAGUAACGCGUAUCCAACCUGCCCACCACUUGGGGAUAACCCUGCGAAAGUAAGACUAAUACCCAAUGAUAUCUAAAGAAGACAUCUGAAUGAGAUUAAAGAUUUAUCGGUGAUGGAUUGGGAUGCGUCUGAUUAGCUUGUUGGCGGGGUAACGGCCCACCAAGGCGACGAUCAGUAGGGGUUCUGAGAGGAAGGUCCCCCACAUUGGAACUGAGACACGGUCCAAACUCCUACGGGAGGCAGCAGUGAGGAAUAUUGGUCAAUGGGCGAGAGCCUGAACCAGCCAAGUAGCGUGCAGGAUGACGGCCCUAUGGGUUGUAAACUGCUUUUAUAAGGGAAUAAAGUGAGCCUCGUGAGGCUUUUUGCAUGUACCUUAUGAAUAAGGACCGGCUAAUUCCGUGCCAGCCGCCGCUGUAA